rnacentral:rRNA from 1 species
AACGAACGCUGGCGGCAGGCCUAACACAUGCAAGUCGAACGAGAAGCCACCUUCGGGUGGUGGACAGUGGCAGACGGGUGAGUAACGCGUGGGAACGUGCCUUUCGGUUCGGGAUAACCCAGGGAAACUUGGGCUAAUACCGGAUACGCCCUUCGGGGGAAAGAUUCAUUGCCGAAAGAUCGGCCCGCGUCGGAUUAGCUAGUUGGUGGGGUAAAAGCCUACCAAGGCGACGAUCCGUAGCUGGUCUGAGAGGAUGACCAGCCACACUGGGACUGAGACACGGCCCAGACUCCUACGGGAGGCAGCAAUGGGGAAUAUUGGACAAUGGGCGCAAGCCUGAUCCAGCCAUGCCGCGUGGGUGAAGAAGGCCUUAGGGUUGCAAACCCCUUUCAGCGGGGAAGAUAAUGACGGUACCCGCAGAAGAAGUCCCGGCUAACUCCGUGCCAGCCGCCGCCGUAA